UCAAGCUACAUAGGGCACAUGAAGGAUGCCUUGGCAUCAGCAGGCGAAGAAGGACGUGGCAAGCUGCGAUAAGCCUCGGGGAGCUGCAUACAAGCUUUAAUCCGGGGAUUUCCGAAUGGAGGAAUCCAACAGAAGUAAUGUUCUGUUAUCUGCAAGUGAAUACAUAGGUUGCAGAGGCGAUACUCAGUGAAGUGAAACAUCUCAGUAACUGAAGGAACAGAAAUCAACCGAGAUUCCGCAAGUAGUGGCGAACGAACGCGGAAUAGCCUAAACCGGCAGGUUUACCUGUCGGGGUUGCGGGACUUAGACAUGACAUGCGGCCGGUUAGCACAACCGUCUGGGAAGUCGGGCCAUAGAGGGUGACAGCCCCCUGUGCGAAAACUGAAAGCAGUCUAUAAGUAUCCCAAGUAGGUCGGCACACGUGAAACUCCGACUGAAUCCGGGGAGACCACUCUCCAAGGCUAAAUACUAGCUGAUGACCGAUAGUGAAACAGUACCGCGAGGGAAAGGUGAAAAAGUACCCCUUUUAGGGGAGUGAAAAGUAUCUGAAAUCAUGUGCCUGCAAAGUGUGGGAGCCCUUCUGGGGUGACCGCAUGCCUUUUGCAUAAUGAGCUUGCGACUUACUUUAAGCAGCCAGGUUAAGCCAUAGGCGGAGCCGAAGCGAAAGCGAGUGUUAACAGCGCGUCAAGUUGCUUGAAGUAGACCCGAAGCUGAGUGAUCUAUCCAUGGUCAGGUUGAAUCUCCGGUAACACGGAGUGGAGGACCGAACCGGUGAGCGUUGAAAAGCUUUCGGAUGAACUGUGGAUAGGAGCGAAAGACCAAUCAAACUCAGUGAUAGCUGGUUCUCUUCGAAAUAUCUUGAGGGAUAGCCUUACGCCAUUGACUUACGGGGGUAGAGCACUGAUUGUCCGCGGGUCCUUACCGGGAUACCAACGACUGUCAAACUUCGAAUACCGUUAAGUUUUACCGUAGGAGUCAGACUGUGGGGGAUAAGCUUCAUAGUCGAGAGGGAAACAACCCAGAUCGCCGUCUAAGGUCCCUAAUUUAAGCUAAGUGGUUUGAAGGAUGUGAAGUUGCGUAAACAACCAGGAUGUUGGCUUAGAGGCAGCCAUCAUUUAAAGAUCGCGUAAUAGCGCACUGGUCGAGUGAUUUUGCGCCGAAGAUGAUCGGGACUAAGCUUAAAACCGAAGACGCGGAUGUACAGCAAUGUACGUGGUAGAAGAGCGUUGUAUGAGGAGCGAAGCGUGAAUGAGAAUGAGCGUGGACUUCAUACAAGUGACCAUGCAAGCAUGAGUAGCGAAAAACCGGAUGGAAAUUCCGGUCACCGUAAGACCAAGGUUUCCCGGGGAAGGUUCGUCCGCCCGGGGUUAGCCGGAUCCUAAGGCCAGGCCGAAAGGCGUAGUCGAUGGACAACGGGUUAAUAUUCCCGUGCCGCCUUAACGGAGUGAUGGAGUGACGCAGUAUGCUAAGCGAGCUGGCUAUAUGCCAGUCUAAUGUCGUAGGACGUCAGGGGUUAAAUGACCUGACAUCAAGUCUGAAAACGGAUGGGACUCGAAGCCUUCGGGUAACGGGGAUUCGCUGAUGCUUUGCUGACGAGAAAAGCUCCUAAGCGUUGAUGUUUUGGCGUCCGUACCGUAAACCGACACAGGUGGUCGAGGCGAGUAGCCUAAGGUGCGCGAGUGAAACCACUUCAAGGAACUCGGCAAAUUAGCCCCGUAACUUUGGGAGAAGGGGUGCCGAACGGGUGCAUAGCCCGGACGGUUUCAACAAAGAGGCCGCGGCGACUGUUUAACAAAAACAUAGCUCUCUGCUAACUCGCAAGAGGAUGUAUAGGGAGUGACACGUGACCAAUGCCGAAAGGUCAAUCGGAUCCGUUAGCAGCAAUGCGAAGCGGUGAUGUGAAGCCCCGGUGAAUGUCGGCCGUAACUAUAACGGUCCUAAGGUAGCGAAAUUCCUUGUCGGGUAAGUUCCGACCUGCACGAA
rnacentral:rRNA from 1 species